rnacentral:rRNA from 1 species
AACGAACGCUGGCGGCAGGCCUAACACAUGCAAGUCGAACGCAUCGCAAGAUGAGUGGCGCACGGGUGAGUAACACGUGGGAAUGUGCCCUUUGGUUCGGAAUAACGUCUGGAAACGGACGCUAAUACCGGAUGUCCCCUGCGGGGGAAAGAUUUAUCGCCAAAGGAGCAGCCCGCGUCUGAUUAGGUAGUUGGUGGGGUAAAGGCCUACCAAGCCGACGAUCAGUAGCUGGUCUGAGAGGAUGAUCAGCCACACUGGGACUGAGACACGGCCCAGACUCCUACGGGAGGCAGCAGUGGGGAAUAUUGGACAAUGGGCGCAAGCCUGAUCCAGCCAUGCCGCGUGAGUGAUGAAGGCCUUCGGGUUGUAAAGCUCUUUCGCACGCGACGAUGAUGACGGUAGCGUGAGAAGAAGCCCCGGCUAACUUCGUGCCAGCAGCCGCGGUAACAC